AAAUACAAUUAGCACUUAAUCUGAAUCUGCGCAAGUUACAUAAUCAUGUGACUCGAAAGAAAAGGAGGAUACAACCUUGGCCUUUUACUUUUUACAUGGGAAAACAUUAAUGAUGCUGACAUUGGAGACAAUUAGACAGUGUCAGCCAAUUGUUUUGCGUCCGCUUUCUCUCACAUCUGUGGUGUCUACAAGCAAGAGCGGCCAUUGUUUCUGCAGGCCUCUGUCGCGCUUUGGCUUUUUGUGCGAACCGUCAAUCUCUUGGCGAAUAUCAAAGCUGCGAGGAAAUUAGAACAGACCAGCUCCACUGCAUCGCACUAAAGCAUAGCAGGGUGCUCCCACUAUGCUACUAAUUAGGCAGUGGCCAACAAAGUAACCUGUCAAUGCGCGCUUGCUAUUUCCCACACACCUGCAUUUCAUACACUAAUAAGCAUACAUUGAGGGGAAGAAAGGCAUAACUGCUGAAGUGUGAAAAAUGAACAAAACAUAACAAUGUUUCCAUCCCCACCUAGACCACUGCCAAUUACCGUUAAACAUGAGGUAGAAUCAACAUGUCGGAAGAAACACAAUACAGUAUCUGAAACUAAAGACGAGAAGGGGAAAAAAUGGAGGGGAGAGCAGGCGGGAGGAGGAAAUGGAGCGAGGGAGUUGUGCAGUCGUGGUGGUGGGGAGCCAUGCAUUGAGAACAUUUCAUGUUUGCUCUCAAAUCUCAUGCUGGAGUGGAGUUUGUCGUUAUUUAUAAAAAAAAAAUCCCGAGGCUGAAAAUGAUCAUAAUUACGGGGUUUCCCUUUUGCCUCGACAGUUCGGAAUUCUUACUCCCUUAAAACAAAUGACUAAAUACCACGACGAAUGUUUUGAUCCAGGACCAACUGCUUAAACUGGGCCAGCUCUUCAGCUGAGAUAAACUGGCUAAGUUCCAUGGCAUCAAUGGAGCCAGGCUAAUUGUGAUCCAUUGAAAUCAGUGCCUAUUUUUUCAUUCUUUCAUUCCUUUUUAAAAAAUGUUUUUAAAAAACCUUCCAUUGAUUCCUGUUGUUUUUAAAAUAGUCUCCUUGCACUCUUUCCCAUUACAAUUCUUUCUUUUUAAAAUUCAUAGGCAUUGGGAUGCCAAUUCAAGAUUUUUUUCUCUUUUCUUUUCUUAAUGGGGAUUAUUGCAUUUAUACUUAUAAUAAAAAAUGUGGGGGGAAAUGGAUGAACAAGGAGCUAAAAUAAAUUUUCCUUCUCAGCCCAAAUGAAACAGCAUUCUUUGCUGUUGCUGUUAUUGUUAUUCUCAUCAUUAUUAGCUGGAAUAAAAUGCUUCAAAGGACAGCAAUUCAUUGCAAAAGCAUGACUAUCAUUCUCAGCACAGCCUGUAUUAUAUGGACUUUAAUAAAUUCCUAGUACUAACUACAGACCUUAAUAUAUCACUAGAGUUCUUAAAACAUUAGCACACAUAUCUAUUGGUUACCUUUUCUGUUUGCUUUCACAUCCAGAUAGGAUCACAAAGGGUGAUGAUUUUAAGGGGCCAUAUUUGGAAAAUAUACCACUACUACUCAGGUUCUUAAGUAGCAUCAAUUGGCAUAUUUCAGUUGGAGCUAGCUAAUCAAUAAUAAUUGGCACGAAUGUUAUAUUUUUGCUGAAAUAAAUGUUGUAUUCAUUGCAUUAUUUUAAAAAGCUAACUGUAGGAGCAUGAAAAACCAAAACAGAGCAUCCAUAUCAGAGUCUUUUGUUUUUAAAUUUAAUGACAGUCAACUAUGAGAAGCAGAAGGUUUGUACGGAGGAAUAGGUAGAGGGCAGAAUGGAGACGGGGCAAUUUAUUUUCCAUCUGUUUAUUUCCCACUCAGAAUGUGUCCCUCUCAUUCCGAUUUUUCUACUUACAGAGGAGGAAAUGGAUAAAUUCAGUUACUAAACAAUAUUGCUGCCAUCUUUGUAAAAUUAAGUAUUUUAUUUCACCAUUAACCAAAAAGUAUCAUGAAGCAGUUAUCCUCGUGAUAGCAACUGUGAUAAUGGAUACUCUGAAAUUUUUAUCUUACAGAUGGUUUUAGCACUUUGCUACAGAAGUGCUCUAUUGCCAACUCAACCGCUUUAAACAAAAAGAGACUAUGAUUUCCAACACAAAACGGCAACUAUACCUAUGGAGGAGGAUCAACCCUAACAUGAGGCUGGGAAUGUACAACCCACAAUCCAUUGGCUGCAUACUCCUCAAGGAUGGUGCACAGUUUCCAACAACUGCUGCUGCCAGGUCGAGUGACAGCUCCAGUAAACCCUGUGUCAUCCUGAUUUCUCAGUUGUUCUUAAAAAGUUAUGGUUUCUCUCUGUCCUUCUCUCUCUUUUCCCCUUCAUCCUAGUUUAUCUCAAUUACUGAUUAAUUCAAACUGAAAAAAGUACAUUGGGCCCUUGAUAUCUGAAGGACUGCAACUGAAAUCAUCUGCCCUCUGCUGCUGAAUACACAUGCCCAAUGUGGAACACAUAUCUCCACAUUAAAACAGUGGAUGUGGCUCUUAAUGAGACAUACCACGUUAUCACAGGAUGUCUGUGCCUCACACCACUGCAGUAAUUAUACUGUUUAGCCAGUAUUGCACAACCUGACAUCUGCCAGGAAGUAAGAGCCAACAAUGAAAGGACCAAGGCAGUGACAUUUCCUGCCCAUCCCCUGUUCGGAUAUCAGCUAGCAUGCCAAUGCCUUAAAUCAAGAAAUAGUUUUCUAAGAUCUACAGAGAUACUCGCAGAAACACCUCAGCAAGCAAGAGUCCAAAAGUGGCAGGCUAAAACUCGGAACCUUAAGUCAUGGCUGAUACUAAAUAAGAGACUCUCUCCUGGGCACACAGAAGAUUGAGCGACUUGGAAGGCGCUGAACAGACUGUGCCCUGGCACCACAAGAUGGAGAGCCAACCUUAAGAAAUCGGGCCACAAAGUGGAAUCCAUGACAUGGGAAUGUGGAGAAGAGCAAACCACAGACCACCUACUACAAUGCAACCUGAACCCUGUCACAUGCACAAUGGAGGACCUACUUAUAGCAACACCAGAGGCAUUCCAAGUGGCCAGCUCCUGGUCAAAGGACAUUUAGUAUAAUUUCAAGUUUUAAAAACUUUGUUUGUGUUUUAAAUACAUUACAACUGUACCCUUUGUUUGCUUCUGACACGAUAAAUAAAUCUGAAGAACUUUG